rnacentral:rRNA from 1 species
GAUGCGCUCUAUCAUGCAGUCGAGCGAAUGAAGAGGAGCUUGCUCCUCUGAUUUAGCGGCGGACGGGUGAGUAACACGUGGGUAAUCUGCCUGUAAGACGGGGAUAACUCCGGGAAACCGGGGCUAAUACCGGAUAAUAAGAAGAAACGCAUGUUUCUUUUUUGAAAGUCGGUUUCGGCUGACACUUACAGAUGAGCCCGCGGCGCAUUAGCUAGUUGGUGAGGUAACGGCUCACCAAGGCGACGAUGCGUAGCCGACCUGAGAGGGUGAUCGGCCACACUGGGACUGAGACACGGCCCAGACUCCUACGGGAGGCAGCAGUAGGGAAUCUUCGGCAAUGGGCGAAAGCCUGACCGAGCAACGCCGCGUGAGCGAUGAAGGCCUUCGGGUCGUAAAGCUCUGUUGUUAGAGAAGAACAAGUACGAGAGUAACUGCUCGUACCUUGACGGUACCUAACCAGAAAGCCACGGCUAACUACGUGCCAGCAGCCGCGGUAAUACGUAGGUGGCAAGCGUUAUCCGGAAUUAUUGGGCGUAAAGCGCGCGCAGGCGGUCUCUUAAGUCUGAUGUGAAAGCCCACGGCUCAACCGUGGAGGGUCAUUGGAAACUGGGAGACUUGAGUGCAGGAGAGAAAAGUGGAAUUCCACGUGUAGCGGUGAAAUGCGUAGAGAUGUGGAGGAACACCAGUGGCGAAGGCGGCUUUUUGGCCUGUAACUGACGCUGAGGCGCGAAAGCGUGGGGAGCAAACAGGAUUAGAUACCCUGGUAGUCCACGCCGUAAACGAUGAGUGCUAGGUGUUGGGGGGGUUCCACCCUCAGUGCUGAAGUUAACACAUUAAGCACUCCGCCUGGGGAGUACGACCGCAAGGUUGAAACUCAAAGGAAUUGACGGGGGCCCGCACAAGCAGUGGAGCAUGUGGUUUAAUUCGAAGCAACGCGAAGAACCUUACCAGGUCUUGACAUCCUUUGACCACUCUAGAGAUAGAGCUUUCCCCUUUCGGGGGACAAGUGACAGUGGUGCAUGGGUGUCGUCAGCUCGUGUCGUGAGAUGUGGGGUAGUCCCGCACGAGCGCACCUUGACUUAGUGCAAGCAAUCAGUGGCACUCUAAGGACUGCGUGACAACCGGAAGAUGUGGGAUGACGUCAAUCAUCAUGCCCGUAUGACUGACUACCACGUGCUACAUGAGUGAAUC